UACGUGGGGUGCAAGCAUUAAUCGGAAUUACUGGGCGUAAAGCGUGCGCAGGCGGCCAUGCAAGACAGAUGUGAAAUCCCCGGGCUUAACCUGGGAACUGCAUUUGUGACUGCAUGGCUAGAGUACGGUAGAGGGGGAUGGAAUUCCGCGUGUAGCAGUGAAAUGCGUAGAUAUGCGGAGGAACACCGAUGGCGAAGGCAAUCCCCUGGACCUGUACUGACGCUCAUGCACGAAAGCGUGGGGAGCAAACAGG
rnacentral:rRNA from 1 species